rnacentral:tRNA from 1 species
GCCUCGAUGGUGAAACUGGUAAACACAGGGGACUUAAAAUCCCCCGUCGUGAAAGCGACUUGGCGGUUCGAGUCCGCCUCGAGGCACCA